rnacentral:misc_RNA from 1 species
GGAAGGAUCAUUAUCGAAGAGAAAUCCGGAGGGGAAGAUGAACGAGAGAAUUUAGUAGGAAUGGUAGGGACUGUCGCUGGCCUUUGGUAAUGCGAAGGCAUGUGCACGUCUCGGAAGUCUUGCUUUUCUCGAUCUCUUUCCUUUCGUGAACCCCCUUUUCCUUACACCUGUGCACCCAUUGUAGGUCCCGCAAGGGAUCUAUGUCUCUAUCUACUCUUAAAUGUAUGGUCUUAGAAUGUCUUGAAACGUCGUCCGGCCUGGCUAACGCUUGGUUGGUGGCAGUAAAGAACCUU